rnacentral:rRNA from 1 species
UACGUAGGGGGCGAGCGUUGUCCGGAUUUAUUGGGCGUAAAGAGCGUGUAGGCGGCCAAGCAGGUCCGCUGUGAAAACUCGAGGCUCGAACCUCGAGACGUCGGUGGAAACCGUUUGGCUAGAGUCCGGAAGAGGAGAGUGGAAUUCCCGGUGUAGCGGUGGAAAUGACGCAGAUAUCGGGAAGAACACCCGUGGCGAAGGCGGCUCUCUGGGACGGUACUGACGCUGAGACGCGAAAGCGUGGGGAGCGAACAGG